UUAAAACAAGCUUUUAAGAGCAGAUGGCGGAUGCCUUGCCAAAGAGAGGCGAUGAAGGACGUACUAGACUGCGAUAAGCUAUGCGGAGCUGUCAAGGAGCUUUGAUGCGUAGAUGUCCGAAUGGGGCAACCCAACUAAUAGAGAUAUUAGUUACUCUUUAUAAAUAGAGAGCGAACCUAGUGAAGUGAAACAUCUCAGUAACUAGAGGAAAAGAAAUCAACGAGAUUCCCUAAGUAGUGGCGAGCGAACGGGGAAAAGGGCAAACCGAGUGCUUGCAUUCGGGGUUGAGGACUGCAACAUCCAAGAGAACGCUUUAGCAGAGUUACCUGGAAAGGUAAGCCAUAGAAAGUGAUAGCCUUGUAUGCGACAAGGCGUUCUUAGGUAGCAGUAUCCAGAGUAGGCCAGGACACGAGGAAUCCAGGUUGAAGCCGGGGAGACCACUCUCCAACCCUAAAUACUACUCUUUGAGCGAUAGCGAACAAGUACCGUGAGGGAAAGGUGAAAAGAACCGCAGUGAGCGGAGUGAAAUAGAACCUGAAACCAUCUGCUUACAAUCAUUCAGAGCCCUAUGAUUUAUCAGGGUGAUGGACUGCCUUUUGCAUAAUGAUCCUGCGAGUUGUGGUAUCUGGCAAGGUUAAGCGAAUGCGAAGCCGUAGCGAAAGCGAGUCUUAAUAGGGCGCUUGAGUCAGAUGCUGCAGACCCGAAGCUAAGUGAUCUAUCCAUGGCCAAGUUGAAACGCGUGUAAUAGCGCGUGGAGGACUGAACUCGUACCCAUUGAAACGGGUUGGGAUGAGCUGUGGAUAGGGGUGAAAGGCCAAACAAACUUAGUGAUAGCUGGUUCUCUUCGAAAUAUAUUUAGGUAUAGCCUCAAGUGAUAAUAAAAGGGGGUAGAGCACUGAUUGGGCUAGGGCUGCUCGCCGCGGUACCAAACCCUAUCAAACUUCGAAUACCUUUUAUCGUAUCUUGGGAGUCAGGCGGUGGGUGAUAAAAUCAAUCGUCAAAAGGGGAACAACCCAGACUACCAAAUAAGGUCCCUAAGUUCUAUUCUGAGUGGAAAAAGAUGUGUGGCUACUCAAACAACCAGGAGGUUGGCUUAGAAGCAGCCAUCCUUUAAAGAAAGCGUAACAGCUCACUGGUCUAGUGGUCAUGCGCUGAAAAUAUAACGGGGCUAAGAUAGACACCGAAUUUGUAGAUUGUGUUUGACACAGUGGUAGAAGAGCGUUCAUACCAGCGUUGAAGGUAUACCGGUA
rnacentral:rRNA from 1 species